rnacentral:rRNA from 1 species
GGGUGAGUAACGCGUAAUCAACCUGCCCUUCAGAGGGGGAUAACAACGGGAAACCGUUGCUAAUACCGCGUACGAUUCAUGAACGGCAUCGUUUAUGAAUGAAAGGUGGCCUCUAUUUAUAAGCUAUCGCUGAAGGAGGGGAUUGCGUCUGAUUAGCUAGUUGGAGGGGUAACGGCCCACCAAGGCAAUGAUCAGUAGCCGGUCUGAGAGGAUGAACGGCCACAUUGGGACUGAGACACGGCCCAAACUCC